rnacentral:lncRNA from 1 species
ACAAUCACGAUUUAUUGUACACAUGGAUAUAACAUGAAUGUGGUUGCAUCAAAUGAACCUUGAAAUUAUCUGCUUUUUCUAAAUCCAUAAUUGUACCAUAAGACAACCUUGCAUCAACAACAAUUACAACAUGCCAGCUGAUAUUUUGUCAAUAAUGUCCGGAAGCUGCACCGCCCCCUCACCUCUCUAUUAGGGUUUGUCCACGCUCAAGUAAAUCAAGGGGCUUCCACUGGUUUUCUCCGGUGGAAAGCCCCAAUCCCUUCAUUAUCUUUUACUCUUUUUAGUUUCUUUCAAUAAAACCUUUUUUUUUUUUUGUNUCUCUUUUUAGUUUCUUUCAAUAAAACCUUUUUUUUUUUUUGUGUUUGUGUGUCUCUCCUUUUGGAGUGUGUGUUUUGUCUCUCCUGUUGGAGUGUUUGGUUAUGUUUCCGUCUAGUUAUGGUUGGGUCUAUUUAGUGUUGGAUCUGUUAAGAACGAGUUUAUUGAUAUUUCUGGUGAUCUGCAAAAACUGUAUCGAAUCUGGGACGAUGGUGAUUAUUGCAAGAGCCCACCUUUCACAACCAAAGAUUGUUCAUCAUUCACAGGUUUACACUAUCGGCAUGUCUAUAGCUGGUAUCCGGCAUGUAGAUAGCUGGGGUGUCUUCGGCAUGUCUAUAGCUGGUGUCCGGCAUGUAGAUAGCUGUGGUACCGCUUCUCCAAUCUCAAUUUAUGCGAUUGGUGUUUCUGAACAUUGGGCUAACAAUGGUUUUUAUGUGAUAUGGUCAAUUGCGAUGUUAUUAUUUCCAGAGGUGUUGGUGCAAUUUGGAUCGCUUGGGAUGUCUUUGAUUUCGUUUUUAGCUUCAAGAAUUGUUAAAUUCUACUAGCUUAUAGCCCGUGCAAGGCACGGGAGCUUUUUAAUUAUUUAUAAACUUUUUAAAAAUAUUUUAAAUGGUGUGAAAAAAAUUAAUUUAUAAAUAAUAGAUUAAAAU